rnacentral:rRNA from 1 species
GAUGAACGCUGGCGGCGUGCCUAAUACAUGCAAGUCGAGCGAACGGACGAGAAGCUUGCUUCUCUGAUGUUAGCGGCGGACGGGUGAGUAACACGUGGAUAACCUACCUAUAAGACUGGGAUAACUUCGGGAAACCGGAGCUAAUACCGGAUAAUAUUUUGAACCGCAUGGUUCAAAAGUGAAAGACGGUCUUGCUGUCACUUAUAGAUGGAUCCGCGCUGCAUUAGCUAGUUGGUAAGGUAACGGCUUACCAAGGCAACGAUGCAUAGCCGACCUGAGAGGCUGAUCGGCCACACUGGAACUGAGACACGGUCCAGACUCCUACGGGAGGCAGCAGUAGGGAAUCUUCCGCAAUGGGCGAAAGCCUGACGGAGCAACGCCGCGUGAGUGAUGAAGGUCUUCGGAUCGUAAAACUCUGUUAUUAGGGAAGAACAAAUGUGUAAGUAACUGUGCUCAACUUGACGGUACCUAAUCAGAAAGCCACGGCUAACUACGUG